UACGGGGGAUGCAAGCGUUAUCCGGAUUUAUUGGGUUUAAAGGGUGCGUAGGCUGCGAGGUAAGUCAGCGGUGAAAUGCCCCCGCUCAACGGGGUGAAGUGCCAUUGAUACUGCCUUGCUGGAAUGCGGAUGCCGUGGGAGGAAUGUGUGGUGUAGCGGUGAAAUGCAUAGAUAUCACACAGAACACCGAUUGCGAAGGCAUCUCACGAAUCCGCUAUUGACGCUGAUGCACGAAAGCGUGGGUAUCAAACAGG
rnacentral:rRNA from 1 species